UGUAUGGGUUAGAGAGAUUAGAGAGAGUGCCAGACUCCAGGAUGAGAGCUUCCUUGAAACUCUUUUUGCUUCAUGAGCAGCUUUUAAGCCUCUCGGCUUGUCAAACUGACUCGACCGGAAUGUGUGGCAGGCAUAUCCAAUAGGUAAGAAGGAUACAUGCUCCACUAUGUUCAAAGCAGCCUUAUUUAUAAUAGCCAGAAGCUGGAAAGAACACAGAUGUCCCUCAACAGAGGAAUGGAUACAGAAAUGUGGUAUAUUUAUACAAUUUAGUACUACCCAGCUAUUAAAAAGAAUGGAUUUAUGAAAUUCCUAGGCAAAUGAAUGGACCUGGAGAGCAUCAUCCUGAGUGAGGUAACACAAUCACAAAAGAAUUCACAUGGUAGUUACUCACUGAUAAGUGGAUAUUAGCCCAGAAACUUAGAAUUCCCAAGAUAUAAGAUACAAUUUGUGAAACUCAUGAAACUGAAGAAGAACGAAGACCAAAGUGUGGACACUUUGCCACUUCUUAGAAUUGGAGUCAAUCACCCAUGGAAGGAGUUACAGAGACAAAGUUUGGAGCUGAGACAAAAGGAUGGACCAUCUAGAGACUGCCAUAUCCGGGGAUCCAUCCCAUAAUCAGCCUCCAAACGCUGACACCAUUGCAUACACUAGCAAGAUUUUGCUGAAAGUCCCCUGAUGUAGCUGUCUCCUGUGAGACCUGCCGGGGCCUAGCAAACACAGAAGUGGAUGCUCACAGUUAGCUAUUGGAUGGAUCACAGGGUCCCCAAUGGAGGAGCUUGAGAAAUUACCCAAGGAGCUAAAGGGGUCUGCAACCCUAUAGGUGUAACAACAAUAGGAACUAACCAGUAACCCCUGGAGCUCAUAUCUCUAGCUGCAUAUGUAUCAGAAGAUGGCCUAGUCGGCCAUCACUGGAAAGAGAGGCCCAUUGGUCAUGCAAACUUUAUAUGCCUCAGUAUAGGGGAAUGCCAGGGCCAUGAAGUGGGAUUGGGGGGUUAGUUUGGGGUAGGGUAUGGGGGACUUUUGGGAUAGCAUUAAAAAUGUAAAUGAAGAAAAUACCUAAUAAAAAAAUAAGAAAAAAUAAGACACUGGAAAGCUUUCCUUAUGAUAGAAGGUUAUGAAAGGAAUCAUCUGGGAAUCUGUGAGAUGCACUGAAGACUGACCUGGCAAGACAUGCACAAUUGUGGAACAGUGAUAUGAGCAUCAUUUAGUUGUCAUAUGCUUUUGUUUGCCUUAUUUCCUGUUUUAAAGGAACAAAUUCAGAUACAGCACCGUUACUGAGCCAAGAAUCUAUAGUUAUAUUAGCCCUAUGGGAGAACUGGCUACUGUUUUUUUGCUAAAUAGACAUACUAUUAAAAUUGACUCCGGAUGAUUAAUUGUCAAACCUAUAUAUCAGAAGAUCUUUUAUCCCUCAUCUGAGAAGCUUCUAUAAGCAAUAGAUGGCAAUUACUGCAGAAAUUUGCCCCUGUCCAAAGAGUAUAAGAGACUAUAAAAUAUGUCUAAAUGGGAAAGAUGCAUCAUAAUCCUUGCUCCUGUGUCUAAGAAUAAUUGCUGAAUACAGUGGAAAAGUGGCUGAAACAGAGAAGGUGAAUGACUACAAGGGAAAUUGUAUUAUGGAUAUAGUAGGACAGGUACACAUAUGAACACACAGUGGUUAAGACAGCAGUGUAAAACCUACACUAGCUAAUCCAGACAAGAUCUCAGCAUGGAGGAAAAGUUGGGCAUGAAGUCCAACUCCUGCCAUAACUCUGGACAACUCUUAGGUGCUGGGAAAGAAGGUCAGUGUUUUUCUAAGGAUAUAGGUCCUAAUAAAUGGAGCAUAAGGAAGCAGAAAACUCCACAUCCAAAAACUUAAGGGCAAUAUAACAUGGGCUUGAUGUUUUGUGUUGUUGUUGUUGCUAUUGUUGCUGUUGUUCUUCUCGUUGUUGUUCUUGUUGUUGUUCUUGUUGUUGUCCUUGUUAAAAAUUGGAUAAAAAGGAACAGGACAAGGAUUUAGAAAGAGUUAGGGUAAGGAAUAAAUUUGAUGAAAAUUUAUUGUGUUCAAUUCUCAAAAAAGCAUAAAAACCUAUAAAAAUUAUGCACUCACUGAUAAGUGGAUAUUAUAUAUAUAUAUAUAUACUUUACAUAAUAUAAGUUAAUAAAAGUAGAAACUCUAAGCGUGUUACAUGAAAUAUUCCACAGUGAAAACAUUUACUAAAGAAAGCAGCCCUUCAUAACAUUUGGAAAAAGUAAAAUUGUUACAAUCGAAGAAGAUUUGGUCACUCUAGCUAAUUUUUAGAAAUGUGUUGGGAGAUAUCUGUUAUUGAAACUGAAAGUGAAAAAUAUUUUAAUUCAUUUAAAUGAUGAAAUAAUAUUUUCGAAAAGAAUGGGUUCAUAAGGAGAUACACAUUUUAAUGAAGUAAUGAGUACUUUAAAAGCCUUUAAUCAUACUGCUCAUAAAGCAUGACUAAGAUGCUUGCAUUUUAAGACAGUGCUGCUUUGUAUUCAAAUAGAAUGACAUUUUAAUUCAUAAAUAUGCAUGAUUGCUUAUUUAGAUGAUUCUAACUUUUGUAGCAUUAUUUAACUUUUAUAAAUAAUAAAAGCAAGAGUAGGCAAGAUUUUAUUCUUCACGAAAUAAAGCUAUUGUCUCUAUUAUUUGUGAGGUAAGAAAAGAAAGACUGUUUAGCCACUGUUAGAAGUAAUUAGCACUUGCUUAAACCUUUAGAAAGGUGAGCAAGGAGGUUAAUCAUGAGAAAAAAGGAAGAAAACAUAAGUAAGUAGAGGGUCAAAAGAAGCAUUAGCAUUCAAGUGAAUGUUUAGAUAAUUCUUCUAACAAAUAUUAAAUUUAAUUCCAACACUGGAACUUGUUAUUUUUUCUACAUAUAUAGGACGCUACUUUGGCUUUCUUACUACCCAUUAAUUCUGACCAUUACACAAAUAGAAAAUUAUAUAUUUUCACAAAUAAAUAAUUAUAAUAAUUUAUGAAGAUAAAAAUAGAUAUAAAGGGGGAAACCAGAGUUAAGAGUUAACAUUCAAGUAUAUGUGCCUUCAGAUGAAAUAUAUUUGUUCGAAAAUCCUUGUUAUCUGAUCAUUGGUACUUCCUAACACAGUUUCCUAGUAGUUUACAGUAAUAGGUGUCAGUAUCUCUGACACUGGCAUGCACAGAUUUCUGCUACUUCUUCAGUAUUAAUGUAUUGUGAGGCAUGGCUCUAGCAAAGGAAAUGAAAGAAAGCAGCACCUACACACAGAAGAAAAGUACAAAAUCCCAACUCCC
rnacentral:lncRNA from 1 species